CUGUUUUAAACUAUAUUAUGUAAACAGUGCAAGCGAUGAGUGAAGGGUGACUAAUAGGCUUCUUUAAUCAGCACUGCAGUAUCUUUUGUUGAAUUAACCUAUACUCACUUCAUUUUAUUUAUAUAAUACAGUCCAUUUAGCAAAUUUUGUUUGAUGUGCAGUGACAUGACCUUGACAGUCAAGAUGCUCUUUCAGGAGAUGGUCCCAGUUACUUUACAUGGUUCUGUUGGACACAAUGAAGCCAUCCAGAUAUGCUAUUAAAAAUCCUGCUAGUCAUUAUGGCUUUAAACUGUACCAUGUCUGUUCUAUUUUCAGCUAGGCAGAGCACGUUCUAUUUACAGCAGGCCAGCAGACACCAGGCAGUAAGGUGAUGUAUGAGUCAAUUAUCAGGAUGGAAAUGUUUUUUGGCAGCUUUCUCAGUGAAUCAGUAUCACCGCAGAACCUUUUUGGACACCCAGAUGUUGAGAGAUGCCCAUUCCUGAGGAAUAUCAAUGGAGCUACAACCUUUUCCCUCUCUUCUGCUUUGCCAGUAGCUGCUCAAGGAGGCAAGGGUCCAAUUUUUGAGGAAGGGUCAGGCUUUGAGUCAGCAUUCAAGCUUUUCCAUGGCCGAGAUGGAAUAGUUCCCCUUUCAGAAAGAU